rnacentral:ncRNA from 2 species
AUUUUUAUGCGGGGGUGCCAUUUUGGCUGAGAGGAUACAAAUCUAACCCUUAGAACCUGAUUUCGGAUAAUACCGGCGUAGGAAGCAUGUUACUGAUGAUG